rnacentral:rRNA from 1 species
UACGAAGGGGGCUAGCGUUGCUCGGAAUCACUGGGCGUAAAGGGUGCGUAGGCGGCUUUUUAAGUCAGGGGUGAAAACUUGCGGCUCAACCGUAAGCUUGCCUUUGAUACUGAGGAGCUUGAAUACACUUGAGGUAGGCGGAAUGUGACAAGUAGCGGUGAAAUGCAUAGAUACGUCACAGAACACCAAUUGCGAAGGCAGCUUACUAAAGUGAGAUUGACGCUGAGGCACGAAAGCGUGGGGAGUCAAACAGGA